GUCCUCUCAGGGUCGCACCUGCAGAGUUUCCAGUACUCUACCAGUCUCGACUAUAGGAGGAAGAGUCAAGUAGAGGUAUACCCAUUCCAUUCCUAGCUUGGGCAAUGGCUAGCUAGUGGCAGGCAAUCUGCUACAAUU
rnacentral:snoRNA from 1 species